ACCAACUCUGAUAAUGACAGGACCAAGUACAAAUGCUAAUAAUUUUUUUUAUUUUUCAAAAGAACUAUCUCAGAUUUGAAACAUAAAAUGAUAUGUUACAUUUUGAAAUAUUUAUGUUAUAAAAAGUAUAGAUUUAUUUUCAAAAACUUUCAAAAACGUUACAUGACCAUCGCUGACUGACAGGACCAACCUCGACAAUGACCGAAC
rnacentral:lncRNA from 1 species